AAAUGCGAUAAGUAGUGUGAAUUGCAGAAUUCAGUGAAUCAUUGAAUCUUUGAACGCACAUUGCGCCCCUUGGUAUUCCAUGGGGCAUGCCUGUUCGAGCGUCAUUUGUACCCUCAAGCUCUGCUUGGUGUUGGGUGUUUGUCCCCGUCUCCGCGCGUGGACUCGCCCCAAAGUGAUUGGCAGCCGGCGUACUGGUCCCGGAGCGCAGCACAUGUCGCGCAAACGAGUGCCUUGGUACGGCGGCGUCCAUAAGCCCCUCUCUCACGCUCUUGACCUCGGAUCAGGUAGGGAUACCCGCUGAACUUAAGC
rnacentral:misc_RNA from 1 species